rnacentral:ncRNA from 2 species
AUGACGACAAGAGGAGAGACUACCCCGGUAGCGCCGAAGGAGCAAGCAGAAUUGUGAAUCUCUCAGGCAAAAGAACUCUUGUUUGACG